rnacentral:rRNA from 1 species
AUUGAACGCUGGCGGUAGGCCUAACACAUGCAAGUCGAACGAGUGGCGGCCUGGUGAGUAAUGUCUUGGAAACUGCCUGAUGGCGGGGGAUAACUACUGGACACGGUGUCUAAUACCGCAUUCCAUCGGCGGGGCCCCGAUGGGAUUAACUAGUAGGUGGGGUAAUGGCUCACCUAGGCGACGAUCCCUAGCUGGUCUGAGAGGAUGACCAGCCACACUGGAAGUGGGUCAGGGGCCAGACUCCUACGGGAGGCAGCAGUGGGGAAGAUUGCACAAUGGGCGCAAGCCUGAUGCAGCCAUGCGGCGUGAAUGAAGAAGGACUUCGGGUUGUAAAGGACUUUCAGGCGGGAGGCGGUACCGAAAGAAGAAGCACAGGCUAACUCUGUGCCAGCAGCCGCGGUAAUAC